UACGUAGGGGGCAAGCGUUGUCCGGAAUCAUUGGGCGUAAAGCGCGUGUAGGCGGCUCGAUAAGUCUGCUGUGAAAAGUCCAGGGCUCAACCCUGGGAUGCCGGUGGAUACUGUCGAGCUCGAGUCCGGAAGAGGCGAGUGGAAUUCCUGGUGUAGCGGUGAAAUGCGCAGAUAUCAGGAGGAACACCGGUGCGAAGGCGGUCUCUGGGCAUUACCUGACGCUGAGGCGCGAAAGCGUGGGGAGCGAACGGG
rnacentral:rRNA from 1 species